GACGAACGCUGGCGGCGUGCUUAACACAUGCAAGUCGAACGGAAAGGCCCUGCUUGCAGGGUACUCGAGUGGCGAACGGGUGAGUAACACGUGGGUGAUCUGCCCUGCACUUCGGGAUAAGCCUGGGAAACUGGGUCUAAUACCGGAUAGGAGCCAUUUUUAGUGUGAUGGUUGGAAAGUUUUUUCGGUGUAGGAUGAGCUCGCGGCCUAUCAGCUUGUUGGUGGGGUAAUGGCCUACCAAGGCGGCGACGGGUAGCCGGCCUGAGAGGGUGGACGGCCACAUUGGGACUGAGAUACGGCCCAGACUCCGACGGGAGGCAGCGGUGGGGAAUAUUGCACAAUGGGCGCAAGCCUGAUGCAGCGACGCCGCGUGGGGGAUGACGGCCUUCGGGUUGUAAACUCCUUUCGCUAGGGACGAAGCUUUUUGUGACGGUACCUAGAUAAGAAGCACCGGCUAACUACGUG
rnacentral:rRNA from 1 species